rnacentral:rRNA from 1 species
AUACGGAGGGUGCAAGCGUUACUCGGAAUCACUGGGCGUAAAGCGCGCGCAGGCGGUCUUUUAAGUUGGAUGUGAAAGCCUACAGCUCAACUGUAGAACUGCAUCCAAAACUAUUAGACUAGAGUCUGGAAGGGGAAGAUGGAAUUAGUUGUGUAGGGGUAAAAUCCGUAGAGAUAACUAGGAAUACCAAAAGCGAAAGCGAUCUUCUGGAACAGUACUGACGCUGAGGCGCGAAAGCGUGGGGAGCAAACAGGAUUAGAAACCCCAGUAGUCC